rnacentral:lncRNA from 1 species
UUUAGAAGUAGAGAUGUGGUCUUCUUUGAGGAUCAAACCUUUGAAGAUUUGAAGAAGAAGGCACCAGCCAAGACUUCUACAGAAGGAUUAGUAGAUUGUGACCCAAUUAUUCCUCCAGUAUAUCAGGGUGAUGGGGGAGAUAUGCAGGAAGAUGGUGUAGAACCUGAUAUUGAUCUACCUGUAGGACAUGUUGAGCAAGAAGAAGUAGGAGAGCAAGUUCCAGCAGAACCUCAGUUGAGAAGAUCUUUUAGACAACGUCAACCUUCCAGAAGAUACUCUACAGAUGAGUAUGUGAUGCUUACUGAUGCAGGUGAACCAGAGAGUUACUAGGAAGCAGUUGAAAGUGAGCAGAAAGAGAAGUGGUUAGUUGCU